CCGGAAUAGCUCAGUCGGUAGAGCAGAGGACUGAAAAUCCUCGU
rnacentral:tRNA from 3 species